UACGAAGGGGGCUAGCGUUGCUCGGAAUUACUGGGCGUAAAGCGCACGUAGGCGGCUUUUUAAGUCGGGGGUGAAAUCCUGGAGCUCAACUCCAGAACUGCCCUUGAUACUGAGGAUCUUGAGUUCGGGAGAGGUGAGUGGAACUGCGAGUGUAGAGGUGAAAUUCGUAGAUAUUCGCAAGAACACCAGUGGCGAAGGCGGCUCACUGGCCCGAUACUGACGCUGAGGCACGAAAGCGUGGGGAGCAAACAGG
rnacentral:rRNA from 1 species